GCGAACGGGUGAGUAACACGUGGGCAAUCUGCCCUGCACUCUGGGACAAGCCCUGGAAACGGGGUCUAAUACCGGAUAUGACCUUCCUCCGCAUGGGGGUUGGUGUAAAGCUCCGGCGGUGCAGGAUGAGCCCGCGGCCUAUCAGCUUGUUGGUGGGGUAAUGGCCUACCAAGGCGACGACGGGUAGCCGGCCUGAGAGGGCGACCGGCCACACUGGGACUGAGACACGGCCCAGACUCCUACGGGAGGCAGCAGUGGGGAAUAUUGCACAAUGGGCGAAAGCCUGAUGCAGCGACGCCGCGUGAGGGAUGACGGCCUUCGGGUUGUAAACCUCUUUCAGCAGGGAAGAAGCGCAAGUGACGGUACCUGCAGAAGAAGCACCGGCUAACUACGUGCCAGCAGCCGCGGUAAUACGUAGGGUGCGAGCGUUGUCCGGAAUUAUUGGGCGUAAAGAGCUCGUAGGCGGCCUGUCGCGUCGGAUGUGAAAGCCCGGGGCUUAACCCCGGGUCUGCAUUCGAUACGGGCAGGCUAGAGUGUGGUAGGGGAGAUCGGAAUUCCUGGUGUAGCGGUGAAAUGCGCAGAUAUCAGGAGGAACACCGGUGGCGAAGGCGGAUCUCUGGGCCAUUACUGACGCUGAAGAGCGAAAGCGUGGGGAGCGAACAGGAUUAGAUACCCUGGUAGUCCA
rnacentral:rRNA from 1 species